GACGAACGCUGGCGGCGUGCUUAGCACAUGCAAGUCGAACGGUGAAGCGAGUGCUUGCACUCGUGGAUCAGUGGCGAACGGGUGAGUAACACGUGAGUAACCUGCCCAUCACUCUGGGAUAAGCACUGGAAACGGUGUCUAAUACUGGAUACGACCAACCCUUGCAUGGGGUGUUGGUGGAAAGAUUUAUCGGUGAUGGAUGGACUCGCGGCCUAUCAGCUUGUUGGCGGGGUAAUGGCCCACCAAGGCGACGACGGGUAGCCGGCCUGAGAGGGUGACCGGCCACACUGGGACUGAGACACGGCCCAGACUCCUACGGGAGGCAGCAGUGGGGAAUAUUGCACGAUGGGCGAAAGCCUGAUGCAGCGACGCCGCGUGAGGGAUGACGGCCUUCGGGUUGUAAACCUCUUUCAGCAGGGAAGAAGCGAAAGUGACGGUACCUGCAGAAGAAGCACCGGCUAACUACGUG
rnacentral:rRNA from 1 species